CACUGCUCACCUCAGCUUCUUCCCUCCACUAGAGGGCGAUAUAAGUCAGUAGGUGUGCGUGAUAACUGCUGUGAGGAGACCACGUGUCAGACUGAAGGUUGAACCUCAGCGAGUUCCUCCUGUGGAGUUAAACCUUGUUGUGGAGAUGGAACAUCGGCUCUGGAUGAUUCUUGCUGCUCUGGUCUUUAAGUGUGAUGGAGACGACAGAGUGAUGCAGCCGAGCGGAGGCCUCACUGCUGCUGAAGGAGAGACACUCACACUGGGUUGUACUUUUCAGACCAAUGAUCCAACUCCAACUCUGCUCUGGUACAAACAACAAGUCAACGAUUUCCCAAAGCUUCUCCUGCAACGCUUCUCAACACAAGCAGAUAAUCCAGCAGAAAGACAGAGGGACAGAAGAACAGAUGCUGCUGUCAACCAGACCUCAUUUCCUCUGAAGAUCCAGAAGCUGCAGCUGUCUGACUCUGCUGUGUACUACUGUGCUCUGCAGCCCACAGCGACAGGAAACUACACAACUCUGUACAAAAACCUGUGGAGCAAACACACAACUCCACAUCACAAGUUUGUGUGUUUGAUCUGAAAGCUGCAGAAUAAAGCGACGUGUGGUUUAGGUAUUGGUAACAAGCAGUGAUAUGAGAGGACGCACAGAGAGGGAGGAGCAACACUGACAAAGAGCAGAGCAGAAAAGACCUCCUGCUGUGCUGCA